rnacentral:rRNA from 1 species
AUACGAAGGGUGCAAGCGUUAAUCGGAAUUACUGGGCGUAAAGCGCGCGUAGGCGGUUUGCUCAGUCGGAUGUGAAAGCCCAGGGCUCAACCUUGGAACUGCAUACGAUACUGGCAAACUAGAGUGUGAGAGAGGAUAGUGGAAUUUCCGGUGUAGCGGUGAAAUGCGUAGAUAUCGGAAGGAACAUCAGUGGCGAAGGCGACUGUCUGGCUCAACACUGACGCUGAGGUGCGAAAGCGUGGGUAGCAAACAGGAUUAGAAACCCUAGUAGUCC